CACACCGCCCGUCACACCAUGGGAGUUGGAUUCACUCGAAGGCGUUGAGCUAACCCGCAGGGGAGGCAGGCGACCACAGUGGGUUUAGCGACUGGGGUG
rnacentral:rRNA from 1 species